AUAAAGUUCCCCACACAAACCCUGUUGUGGUCAUGGAAAAGUUUGCCCCUCUUUGAGCUUCCAUCAUCAUGACUUGAUUUUCUCAUCAUUUUUUUUUUCACUUCGUACUCCUUUAUUUUCUUUCUUUCACAAAAAGAUGCACUUCGAAAUAUAUUUAUCUCACGAUCCUUGCCCGGUUUCGUUCAAAAGUAAAGGUCCUUGGACCACGUGAGAUCACGUAGGCCUCCAUGACCAUGAGCUCUCGAGCAAGGCAGAGGGCUCAGAGGACGAGGAGGACUUUCCUCUUGAUCAGUCGAUGAUGAAGAAAAUAACUAGACAUUCGUGUGGGUAUGUCUGUCGAAUACGUUGAACAGAGAGUCACUCGUAGCAGAAAACUCACUUCACGCUUUUAUAGAGAAAUAAUACUAUUCAAAAGUCGAGGAUGAAAAAAAUAAUAUAAGGUGAGAGGAAGAUGCGGAAUGGACAGGAUCACGUGUAGGAGACAACAGGAAGCACAUGAGGUGUUGAGGGAAAGUGAAGAGGAAGGUGGGGACAACAACGUUGGAUUUGGUUAAGGAGUGCCCCGAUGUUCAAAGGGCUUUUUGUUUGUGUGGCUUAUCUUGCUGGGCUCCUGGCUACGAAAGUUACCGCUCAGGUUCAUCGAUCGGAUGGUUUACCAAAAGGUAUUGUAUAUAUAUCUGUACAUUGGCCGGUCCCUUAGGAUCAGGAAUGUUUGCCUUCAAUUCGAUGCUGUACUGUAUUGUGAAGGCAGCUCCCACAAGGUUUGUCCCAUAAUAUGGAACUGUUUUAUUUUUCCGAAUGAUGGUAUAGGGUUCAUCCAACUUGGUCGCUGUUAAUAAUCGUGUUGGAUUAUGCAAUAAGGGAACAUGUAAUGACUUUAUGUGCACAUUGUCAAAUAUAUAGGAGUAACUUUCUUCCGUGCUUUUUUCGUUCUA